CCCUGCUCAAUGAUUAUUAAAUAGCCGCAGUACUUUGACUGUGCAAAGGUAGCAUAAUCAUUUGGCUUAUAAUUGAAGUCUGGUAUGAAUGGGUGAAUGGAUAAUAACUAUCUUUCCAUAAUAAACUGAAUUUACUUAUUAAGUGAAAAUUCUUAUUUAAAAACAAUAGACGAGAAGACCCUAGAAAUUUUUUAAAUAUAUAUUUAGAUAUUCUAUUUUGUUGGGGCGACAAGGUAGCAAUUAACCUACCUAUAAAAUAUAAAAAAUUAAUGAGGUACAUAAUUAAAUUACUCUAGGGAUAACAGCAUAAUGUAUGAGAGUUUGUGACCUCGAUGUUGGACUAGGUAAAUUGAUGUUUAAAAGAUAUUAG
rnacentral:rRNA from 1 species